rnacentral:rRNA from 1 species
GGUUAAGCGACUAAGCGUACACGGUGGAUGCCCUGGCAGUCAGAGGCGAUGAAGGGCGUGCUAAUCUGCGAUAAGCGCCGGUAAGGUGAUAUGAACCGUUAUAACCGGCGAUACCCGAAUGGGGAAACCCAGUGUGACUCGUCACACUAUCAUUAACUGAAUCCAUAGGUUAAUGAGGCGAACCGGGGGAACUGAAACAUCUAAGUACCCCGAGGAAAAGAAAUCAACCGAGAUUCCCCCAGUAGCGGCGAGCGAACGGGGAGGAGCCCAGAGCCUGAAUCAGCAUGUGUGUUAGUGGAAGCGUCUGGAAAGGCGCGCGAUACAGGGUGACAGCCCCGUACACAAAAGCGCAUGUGCUGUGAGCUCGAUGAGUAGGGCGGGACACGUGGUAUCCUGUCUGAAUAUGGGGGGACCAUCCUCCAAGGCUAAAUACUCCUGACUGACCGAUAGUGAACCAGUACCGUGAGGGAAAGGCGAAAAGAACCCCGGCGAGGGGAGUGAAAAAGAACCUGAAACCGUGUACGUACAAGCAGUGGGAGCACCCUUCGGGGUGUGACUGCGUACCUUUUGUAUAAUGGGUCAGCGACUUAUAUUCUGUAGCAAGGUUAACCGAAUAGGGGAGCCGUAGGGAAACCGAGUCUUAACCGGGCGUUAAGUUGCAGGGUAUAGACCCGAAACCCGGUGAUCUAGCCAUGGGCAGGUUGAAGGUUGGGUAACACUAACUGGAGGACCGAACCGACUAAUGUUGAAAAAUUAGCGGAUGACCUGUGGCUGGGGGUGAAAGGCCAAUCAAACCGGGAGAUAGCUGGUUCUCCCCGAAAGCUAUUUAGGUAGCGCCUCGUGAAUUCAUCUCCGGGGGUAGAGCACUGUUUCGGCUAGGGGGCCAUCCCGGCUUACCAACCCGAUGCAAACUGCGAAUACCGGAGAAUGUUAUCACGGGAGACACACGGCGGGUGCUAACGUCCGUCGUGAAGAGGGAAACAACCCAGACCGCCAGCUAAGGUCCCAAAGUCAUGGUUAAGUGGGAAACGAUGUGGGAAGGCCCAGACAGCCAGGAUGUUGGCUUAGAAGCAGCCAUCAUUUAAAGAAAGCGUAAUAGCUCACUGGUCGAGUCGGCCUGCGCGGAAGAUGUAACGGGGCUAAACCAUGCACCGAAGCUGCGGCAGCGACGCUUAUGCGUUGUUGGGUAGGGGAGCGUUCUGUAAGCCUGUGAAGGUGGCCUGUGAGGGUUGCUGGAGGUAUCAGAAGUGCGAAUGCUGACAUAAGUAACGAUAAAGCGGGUGAAAAGCCCGCUCGCCGGAAGACCAAGGGUUCCUGUCCAACGUUAAUCGGGGCAGGGUGAGUCGACCCCUAAGGCGAGGCCGAAAGGCGUAGUCGAUGGGAAACGGGUUAAUAUUCCCGUACUUGGUGUUACUGCGAAGGGGGGACGGAGAAGGCUAUGUUGGCCGGGCGACGGUUGUCCCGGUUUAAGCGUGUAGGCUGGUUUUCCAGGCAAAUCCGGAAAAUCAAGGCUGAGGCGUGACGACGAGGCACUACGGUGCUGAAGCAACAAAUGCCCUGCUUCCAGGAAAAGCCUCUAAGCAUCAGGUAACAUCAAAUCGUACCCCAAACCGACACAGGUGGUCAGGUAGAGAAUACCAAGGCGCUUGAGAGAACUCGGGUGAAGGAACUAGGCAAAAUGGUGCCGUAACUUCGGGAGAAGGCACGCUGACACGUAGGUGAAGUGAUUUACUCAUGGAGCUGAAGUCAGUCGAAGAUACCAGCUGGCUGCAACUGUUUAUUAAAAACACAGCACUGUGCAAACACGAAAGUGGACGUAUACGGUGUGACGCCUGCCCGGUGCCGGAAGGUUAAUUGAUGGGGUCAGCGCAAGCGAAGCUCCUGAUCGAAGCCCCGGUAAACGGCGGCCGUAACUAUAACGGUCCUAAGGUAGCGAAAUUCCUUGUCGGGUAAGUUCCGACCUGCACGAAUGGCGUAAUGAUGGCCAGGCUGUCUCCACCCGAGACUCAGUGAAAUUGAACUCGCUGUGAAGAUGCAGUGUACCCGCGGCAAGACGGAAAGACCCCGUGAACCUUUACUAUAGCUUGACACUGAACAUUGAGCCUUGAUGUGUAGGAUAGGUGGGAGGCUUUGAAGCGUGGACGCCAGUCUGCGUGGAGCCGACCUUGAAAUACCACCCUUUAAUGUUUGAUGUUCUAACGUGGACCCGUUACCCGGGUUGCGGACAGUGUCUGGUGGGUAGUUUGACUGGGGCGGUCUCCUCCUAAAGAGUAACGGAGGAGCACGAAGGUUGGCUAAUCCUGGUCGGACAUCAGGAGGUUAGUGCAAUGGCAUAAGCCAGCUUGACUGCGAGCGUGACGGCGCGAGCAGGUGCGAAAGCAGGUCAUAGUGAUCCGGUGGUUCUGAAUGGAAGGGCCAUCGCUCAACGGAUAAAAGGUACUCCGGGGAUAACAGGCUGAUACCGCCCAAGAGUUCAUAUCGACGGCGGUGUUUGGCACCUCGAUGUCGGCUCAUCACAUCCUGGGGCUGAAGUAGGUCCCAAGGGUAUGGCUGUUCGCCAUUUAAAGUGGUACGCGAGCUGGGUUUAGAACGUCGUGAGACAGUUCGGUCCCUAUCUGCCGUGGGCGCUGGAGAACUGAGGGGGGCUGCUCCUAGUACGAGAGGACCGGAGUGGACGCAUCACUGGUGUUCGGGUUGUCAUGCCAAUGGCACUGCCCGGUAGCUAAAUGCGGAAGAGAUAAGUGCUGAAAGCAUCUAAGCACGAAACUUGCCCCGAGAUGAGUUCUCCCUGAGACUUUAGGUCUCCUGAAGGAACGUUGAAGACGACGACGUUGAUAGGCCGGGUGUGUAAGCGCAGCGAUGCGUUGAGCUAACCGGUACUAAUGAACCGUGAGGCUUAACCUU